UGGGGAAUAUUGGACAAUGGGCGAAAGCCUGAUCCAGCCAUGCCGCGUGUGUGAAGAAGGUCUUCGGAUUGUAAAGCACUUUAAGUUGGGAGGAAGGGCAGUAAGCGAAUACCUUGCAGUUUUGACGUUACCGACAGAAUAAGCACCGGCUAACUCUGUGCCAGCAGCCGCGGUAAUACAGAGGGUGCAAGCGUUAAUCGGAAUUACUGGGCGUAAAGCGCGCGUAGGUGGUUCGUUAAGUUGAAUGUGAAAGCCCCGGGCUCAACCUGGGAACUGCAUCCAAAACUGGCGAGCUAGAGUAGGGCAGAGGGUGGUGGAAUUUCCUGUGUAGCGGUGAAAUGCGUAGAUAUAGGAAGGAACACCAGUGGCGAAGGCGACCACCUGGGCUCAUACUGACACUGAGGUGCGAAAGCGUGGGGAGCAAACAGG
rnacentral:rRNA from 1 species